GUAUAAUGGGUCAGCGACUUAUAUUCUGUAGCAAGGUUAACCGUAUAGGGGAGCCUCAGGGAAACCGAGUCUUAACUGGGCGUUAAGUUGCAGUGUAUAGACCCGAAACCCGGUGAUCUAGCCAUGGGCAGGUUGAAGGUUGGGUAACACUAACUGGAGGACCGAACCGUCUAAUGUUGAAAAAUUAGCGGAUGACUUGUGGCUGGGGGUGAAAGGCCAAUCAAACCGGGAGAUAGCUGGU
rnacentral:rRNA from 1 species